rnacentral:rRNA from 1 species
ACGCACGCUGGCGGCGUGCUUAACACAUGCAAGUCGCACGAAAAGAGGGAAAGAGCUUGCUCUUUCCGGAAUUGAGUGGCAAACGGGUGAGUAACACGUAAACAACCUGCCUUCAGGAUGGGGACAACAGACGGAAACGACUGCUAAUACCGAAUAAGUUCCAAGAGCCGCAUGGCCCAUGGAAGAAAAGGUGGCCUCUACCUGUAAGCUAUCGCCUGAAGAGGGGUUUGCGUCUGAUUAGCUGGUUGGAGGGGUAACGGCCCACCAAGGCGACGAUCAGUAGCCGGUCUGAGAGGAUGAACGGCCACACUGGAACUGAGACACGGUCCAGACUCCUACGGGAGGCAGCAGUGGGGAAUCUUCCGCAAUGGGCGAAAGCCUGACGGAGCAACGCCGCGUGAGUGAUGACGGCCUUCGGGUUGUAAAACUCUGUGAUCCGGGACGAAAAGGCAGAGUGCGAAGAACAAACUGCAUUGACGGUACCGGAAAAGCAAGCCACGGCUAACUACGUG